rnacentral:lncRNA from 1 species
GGUAAAGUGAAAGUAGUCACGUGACCACAAAUCCACAUACAACAUAAUCGAUCACAAAAGUGAAAAGUGCAGGUUGAAGAUAGCCACGUACAAAUGCCAACUUUGGAAUUUUAGAAACUGCUAGGUCUACUUUUUAUAAAAACUGCUGUUACAAGUUGAUUUUUAAUUUGUAAGAUGAAAAACGAGUCACUUUUACGAGUAAAAUGGUUUUAUAAACAACAACAAUACCCUUCCAAUGGCGCUAGAAAAAUGAACAACAAUUAUUUUGAUUUGUAACAGCACUUUCUAUAAAUUUCAACAUCUGCUGAAUCCAUACAUGCCUGAAACUAAGACGUACUUAUCGAUCUUCAACCUGCACUUUUCGUUUAAAAAAAUGUUGUUGGAUAUGUUUAUAUUUUCAGAGAUAAACACAAACGCACCAAUGACGUAGAACAGCAAACACGGAAUAAAACGGGUCUUAUCCAGAAACCGGACAGUUGGUUGGCGGCAAACUUUCAAUUGUUAAUACAAUUUUGUUUUAUUAGAACAAUCGAUGAAACAUUUGUUUUUUGUUUAUUAUGUACAAAUUAUUUUCUAAAAAAAUAAAAUAAAAUUAUUUGAAUGUGCAAAAGUUUUCCCGGUUUUCUUGGGAGAUUCCAAUACAUAGGAGGUCGUGCAGGUUAAAUAACAAUCAAAAAUAAUAUACGAAAACUUCCAAGCGAUCACAAAUUAUUAAAGACAAAUGUCCUAGACCUACAA